rnacentral:rRNA from 1 species
UCCGUAGGGCGCAAGCGUUGUCCGGAAUUAUUGGGCGUAAAGAGCUCGUAGGUGGUGUGUCGCGUCUGCCGUGAAAGCCCGGGGCUUAACUCCGGGUCUGCGGUGGAUACGGGCAGACUAGAGGCAGGUAGGGGAGAACGGAAUUCCCGGUGUAGCGGUGAAAUGCGCAGAUAUCAGGAGGAACACCGAUGGCGAAGGCAGUGGGCUGGGCCGGCACUGACGCUGAGGAGCGAAAGCGUGGGGAGCGAACAGG